rnacentral:rRNA from 1 species
UACGUAGGGUGCGAGCGUUAAUCGGAAUUACUGGGCGUAAAGCGUGCGCAGGCGGUUCGUUAAGUUCGUCGUGAAAGCCCCGGGCUCAACCUGGGAAUGGCGAUGGAAACUGGCGGGCUGGAGUGCGGCAGAGGGGGGUGGAAUUCCACGUGUAGCAGUGAAAUGCGUAGAGAUGUGGAGGAACACCGAUGGUGAAGGCAGCCCCCUGGGCCGACACUGACGCUCAGGCACGAAAGCGUGGGGAGCAAACAGG